GGCUGGGUGUCACAAUUGGUUUUGAACUGGCCUUGGACGACAAUGGUUGCUAGUUCGACCCCGGCCCAAGUCG